AUACGGAGGGUGCAAGCGUUAUCCGGAUUUAUUGGGUUUAAAGGGUCCGUAGGCGGAUCAUUAAGUCAGUGGUGAAAGCCGGCAGCUCAACUGUCGAACUGCCAUUGAUACUGAUGAUCUUGAAUACGGUUGAAGUUGGCGGAAUAGGUCAUGUAGCGGUGAAAUGCUUAGAUAUGACCUAGAACACCGAUUGCGAAGGCAGCCAACUAAACCGUUAUUGACGCUGAGGGACGGAAAGCGUGGGGAGCGAAAGGGAUUAGAUACCCCUGUAGUCCUAGGCCGUAAACGAUGAACACUAGGUGUCGGGGGAAUCGACCCCCUCGGUGUCGUAGCCAACGCGUUAAGUGUUCCGCCUGGGGAGUACGCACGCAAGUGUGAAACUCAAAGGAAUUGACGGGGCCCGGCACAAGCGGUGGAGGUAUGUGGUUUAAUUCGAUGCAACGCGAAGACUUACCAAGGGCUUGACAUCCUGCGAACCUCUGGGAAACCGGAGGGUGCCUUCGGGAACGCA
rnacentral:rRNA from 1 species